rnacentral:lncRNA from 1 species
CGGGCAUGCUCAGUAGACAGGGCAGGUUUUUUGGUCUCGAGUAGCGGAGAAACAUUUUUUGCACCACCGCGACCAGCCUUAGAGCGCGGCGGCGGCGGCCACGGCAACAUCAGCCCAGCCAUCAGCCGAGCAGACGCCCAGCACCCGGGAGCGCGGCGAGCUUCGGCUCAGCCCGGAGUUCACCUCCGAGUGCCCCGGGGGCUGAGCUCACCCCUUCUGCUCUCUCACACACGAACACUCUCUUUCACUCACACACACACACGUAUUCACACUCUCUCGCACACACAUAGGACCCUGGGCGCAAGCACCCUUCUGGCAGCGGUCGUCCGCUGGUGCAAUAGUAGCUAGGUUCGGUUCCUGCCUCCGGCGGCCGCCGGUUUAGAGCACCGCUGCCAGCAGCCGGAGGAGAGCAAUGCGGGGGCCCGAGCGGCAGCUCGAACAGUAAUGUGGAUUUACAGUCGUUUCCCGCAGGAGUCGGCCGAGACGCCCUAAGUCCCGGGCACUGGCAGCGCCCGGCGGAGCCGAGCACCUGGCGAGGGGGCGGGGGAACAGCACCUGGGGACGCCGCCGAAACUUGCGCUUGGAAUAGGAAUUACAAGGGUGACCUUUAUUCCGCUGUCUCCUUUUUGAUUCCCAUAACUUCUGGACCUAUCAAGUGCUAUGCAUCAUUACUCAAAUGUGAAUUCUCAUUUCAAGCUGUAAAA